GGUAAGUGGUAGAGCGUCUAGUUUAGUAGAGCAGGUUCAGAGUUUAAAUGAGCAAGUGCAGUUUUGGAAAGGGGAACAUGCUGCCGCACAGGAGGAACUAGACAGGUUUAUACAAGGGCAGGUCCCCACUUUUGAGCAUGGUAUGAAGAGAAAAUGAAACAGCAGCAGCACAUUCCGUUUGCAGUGAGGUUGUAUAGUAAAAUGAAGUUUUCAUAAAUAUGUUUAUAAGUAACUUAUUGUCAAUAAGUAUUUGUUACAAAUGUGCACUUUUUUCUCUCUUUUUCAGAUGAACGUGCCUUCAAUUAGCUACACAUUUUCCAGGAGUUUGCUCGAUCGCCUUUUUGCUAGGGGUCGGGGAAUAAUUUUCCAGUAUCCCAUAUUGGCUAAUAUGGGUUAACUGGUUUUUUGAUUCCCUCUGGAAAAUGAGUUAGGUUUCCUAUUAAAUAUGCAUAUUAAACAUUGUUGUUCUUGAACAAA